AUUGAACGCUGGCGGCAGGCUUAACACAUGCAAGUCGAGCGAGCGGCGGACGGGUGAGUAAUGUCUGGGAAACUGCCUGAUGUAGGGGGUUCACUACUGGAAACUGUAGCUAAUACCGCAUACCAUAAGAUGUGCCCAGAUGGGAUUAGCUAGUAGGUGGGGUAAUGGCUCACCGAGGCGACGAUCCCUAGCUGGUCUGAGAGGAUGACCAGCCAAACGGGAACUGAGACACGGUGCAGAGUCCUACGUGAGGAAGCAGUGGGGAAUAGUGGACAAGGGGCGCAAGCCUGAUGCAGCCAUGCCGGGUGUGUGAAGAAGGCCUUCAGGUUGUAGGGCGCUAUCGGCGAGGAGGGGUUACGCGCAGAAGAAGCACCGGCUAACGCCGUGCCAGCAGCCGCGGUAAUUC
rnacentral:rRNA from 1 species